rnacentral:misc_RNA from 1 species
GAUGAAGAACGCAGCGAAAUGCGAUAAGUAAUGUGAAUUGCAGAAUUCAGUGAGUCAUCGAAUCUUUGAACGCACAUUGCGCCCGCCAGUAUUCUGGCGGGCAUGCCUGUUCGAGCGUCAUUUCAACCAUCAAGCCCCAGGCUUGUGUUGGGGACCUGCGGCUGCCGCAGGCCCUGAAAACCAGUGGCGGGCUCGCUGUCACACCGGGCGUAGUAGAUUUUAUCUCGCUCAGGGCGUGCUGCGGGUUCCGGCCGUUAAAAAGCCUUUUUUACCCAAGGUUGACCUCGGAUCAGGUAGGAAGACCCGCUGAACUUAAGCAUAUCAAUAAGCGGAGGA